UGCGAAAACGUAAACAAUGAUUGUGACAAAAUUAACAAAAAACAAAAACAAGAACAGAACAGCUCGGAAGGACAGCAGACCAAAUUUUUGAAAAACUUAUUAAUAAAAUGGAUUUAGUGCCAGAAAACUCCUCCAGUGCAAACAAGAGAACAACAGCAGGCGGCAGGGUGAAAUGGAGUGCCGCGCUUGAGAGCCUGCUGAUUGACAUAUGGAAGCAGAAAAUUGAAGAUUUGCGCGGACCACGCAAAAAUUCACAUGUGUAAAUUAAGUUGUCCGUAUGUCCAAGUAGCCUUAGCUGCUUGAUGCGGUGGUCCUCGUGCGGGUUCCGUGGUAUAGAAUCCUUUAUGAAGAUUAUGUUGGAGAGAUAACUGUCUCUCUUAUCACUGGCCUUGUGGUACAGUGGUAUAGAAUUAAUAAUUCAAAGUGUUUACGGCUGGUUGCCGGAGCAAGGUUUAUUAACAAGCGUUAGCUUUCGUUAUAAGAACAGAACUAAAACUAGGAGCCACCAGCAAGCUGGGGCAUAAGCUGAAUCAAAAGUAUUUAAUUGCCAAA